CAAUAGCGUAUAUUAAAGUUGUUGCAGUUAAAAAGCUCGUAGUUGGAUUUCUGUUGAGAGCGACCGGUCCAUACCAUGUAUGCGUAUCUGGCUUGCUCUCGGCAUCCUCUCGAUAGACGUUACUGCGCUUGAUUGCGUGGUGCGGAUCUCGGGACUUUUACUUUGAGGAAAUUAGAGUGUUCACGGCAGGCUUUCGCCAGAAUACAUUAGCAUGGAAUAAUACUAUAGGAUCUUGGUUCUAUUUUGUUGGUUUCUAGAAUUGAGAUAAUGAUUAAUAGGGACAAUUGGGGGCAUUCGUAUCAACACGUCAGAGGUGGAAUUCUUGGAUUGUGUUGCGACGAACUACUGCGAAAGCAUUUGCCAAGGAUGUUUUCAUUGA
rnacentral:rRNA from 1 species